rnacentral:rRNA from 1 species
GAUGAACGCUGGCGGCGUGCCUAAUACAUGCAAGUCGAGCGAACAGACGAGGAGCUUGCUCCUCUGACGUUAGCGGCGGACGGGUGAGUAACACGUGGAUAACCUACCUAUAAGACUUGGAUAACUUCGGGAAACCGGAGCUAAUACCGGAUAAUAUAUUGAACCGCAUGGUUCAAUAGUGAAAGACGGUUUUGCUGUCACUUAUAGAUGGAUCCGCGCCGCAUUAGCUAGUUGGUAAGGUAACGGCUUACCAAGGCAACGAUGCGUAGCCGACCUGAGAGGGUGAUCGGCCACACUGGAACUGAGACACGGUCCAGACUCCUACGGGAGGCAGCAGUAGGGAAUCUUCCGCGAUGGGCGAAUGCCUGACGGAGCAACGCCGCGUGAGUGAUGAAGGUCUUCGGAUCGUAAAACGCUGUUAUUAGGGAAGAACAAAUGUGUAAGUAACUAUGCACGUCUUGACGGUACCUAAUCAGAAAGCCACGGCUAACUACGUG